rnacentral:lncRNA from 1 species
CGUCAAGUGGAGCCGAGAGGGAGGAGCAGCAGGAGCAGGAAGAAAAGGGGAGCUUGGAAAGGUAAGCUCCUGCCAUUCAGCCCUGUGCCCCAGAGCUGGCCUCCACCUCCUGUCCCUGAGCGCCCAGAUCCGUGGGCUCGAGGAUGCCAGGGACAGAGCCUGUCCCUCAGGAAACAGAGCCCUCAGCGAGGCUCCCGGGAAGGAGAGGAAAACCUGAGUACUUGCCAGAUUCUGUGCUGGGAACUGAGGCCCAGGCCAGCAGGCGUCCGGAACAGGGUGUUGCCCAGCAGGGGCAUGUGGGCUGUGGUAGAGGUUGAAGCACUUGGUCCAUGACAAACCUCAACCCAUCAGCAGCCUUGCCAUCCCCAUCAGGGAUCCCGUGGCCUUGGGCACUGGUGCUUGGGCUCCAGAGUCUGACCUCAAACGGUCUCCCCUAAAGGCACACUGCACGCAGCCUCCUGCGAGAGCCCUCGGCCCCCGCCUUCACCACUGUGACCCAGUGCCCUCAUUUCUAGCUUACAGAGCUGGCCGGAAGGACCUGGCAGAAGUGGGGGGCCUGAGGUCCCUUUCGCCAAGCUCCCCGGGGAGGCUGUCUUGUAAGGGGUGCUUCCAUCGCUUCUCAUCUCAAGACUCCCCUGGGGAGGCGUGCAAGACAGCGUCUGCUACAGUCCGCCAGCCAUGCGGGAAGCCCGCGCAAGGUGCUCCUCUCACCACGACUCCAGCACUUUCCCUGGCUCUUCUCACCCAGCGCACUCGACCUUGGGCCUCCACCCUGCCAGCAGAACCGCCCUCGGCCCUGACCACCACUCCACUACGCCCUGUGGCCACGAGCUCGGCUCCAGCUCACUCGUCUUGGCCAUUUCCCAACUCAGGCCACGGCCGCGUGAGCUGUCGCCUUGAAACCUUCCCCUCCCGGUGGAACACGAUCCAGGCCUGGUUCUUCCCCGUGCCGUCGCGCUUCGGGUCCCAGCAAGGGCCCCUGUCCUGCCUCCCACCAGCGGCCUCCUUCUGGGGAGGCCCCACAAACAGGGAGGGAGAGACCGACAGCCCCUCACUUGCCAGCCCUGACGCCCAGAAGCUGCUCGAGACAGACAUCACGGAAAGCGUGCCAACGGAGGUCUGGGAAGAAGAGCAAGACGACCCACGCCCUCCUCAGAUGCUCCAAGCACACACGAUCACGUGUGGGCUGAAUUUCCGCUGGGGCCUACCCCUCCUGUCCUUGGGGCCUGCGGCUCCGAAAGCAUGUGAGGCUCAACCCUCGGCCCUUCCACGGUCCCCUCUGCCCCCCGCAGCCACCUGGGAUGCUGGGGCCCCCUCGCAAGCUGACUCGGCACGCUUCACGGGAGAACCUCUUGAGCCUCCUCCGGGUGACCAGGUCUCAGCUCUGACGACAAAACCAUCAGUUCCCAGGCUGGCCCGUCCCCUCCCUGCUCCCUCACCUGUGUGUGAGGAAAAUCACAAGGCCCUGGGAGGGACCCUACCUGGCCAUGGCAGAGGGCCCUCAGAAGCCUCUCUCUCGGGACAGGAGGGCCGGCCGCCUUCUCCAACCUCCCCACGCAGCCUCUCAGAGAGCGAAGGGCGGGGUGGGACCUUCGUGGGGGCCGAGCGAGGCCGUCGGGGGCCGACUUCAGGCUCCCCAGCGGCCAGGGAAGAGCCUCGGGAGGAGAGUAGGGCUGGGGCCUCACCAGAGCCCUGCCGUGGGGUGGCAACACCGGACGGGGAGUCAGGGUCCCAGUCUCGGAGCCAGGUCGGGGACAUGGGAGACACCCUCGAGACCAAACCCCUCCGGCCCCGGCCUGCCAAGGAAGAGGAGCCUCACGACGGCCCUCUCAGAAAAAUGUGGAGACGCCUCCUGCCCUGCCUGAGGCCCAACAAGGAGGAAGCGCGAGAGGAUCCCCUCGCCAAGGCAAGCCCGCCUCAGCCACCGCCCAGAGCCGGGCACGGGUCACACACAGCUCGGCGUCGGAUGGCGGGGCUGUUCAGGCGCCAUCGACAGUGACAUCCUGUGUCUGCGUCCUGGGAGGGAAACUGAGGCUGGCCGAGAACUUCUGGCCUCCCAGCAGAAGCAUCGCAAAACCCAUUUCAGGCCUGGCAAGCCGGACAUACCUGUCACCACGACGUUCCCUCCUCCCCAGAGCAGAGGAGAACAAUCGCAGAGGACAGUCCCCAACCUACCUCCAGGGACCACAACUGUCCGAAUACGAGGGAAUGGAUCAGAACAGGCGUGGAAACUGGAACUUGCCAUCCAGGCAGCCACGGCCCCCAGCCAAACCCUGCCAGCCUGGGCUGAGGGUGGCAGCUGCCUCAGCCAAUCCAUUACCCGUCAUGCUGUCCUCAGAUAUGUCUCUCCCGGGAUGAGUAGACUGUGCCUGACACACCUUUCCUCGUAGGAACGCUUCUCUGCCCGAACGGGCAAGCGGACGAACAGAAAACCUGGUUCUGCUCCUUAUCCCACCCUCCGUGCUAAUGCUGUCCUCCUACCCCAAUUUUCCCCAAAUACACUUUUUUUCUCCUUAGAGGUCGUGGCUUCUGUCUGUGCCCUGCUAGGGGGAAAAACGGGGUCAGGCUCCGCCCUUCCUGAGCGUCUGCUUUGGCUUCCAGAAGGGACAGGGCCACGGGGGGAGGCCGAUGGCAGCGUGGCUCACCUGCCCUCGCCCCAGCUCCCCCAUUGCACCUCAAGUCCCCAUCACACCGUCCUUACAAAAACAGAUGGAAGCUUUGGGCUCCUUCCAGAUGAGCGAAACCUCGAAGACCCCAAGCCCACGAUGGGCCCCGCCUGUCCUCUCCUGCGUUCUCUGGCCCUUGAACUUGUGGGGCUGUAGGGAGGGGCUUUGCAGAGGCUCCAGCAAGCGUAGAGACAGGCUCACAGGUCACAGAGUGGGGAGGGGAGUGUGGGGCAGUGCUGGCCCUGAGUCCGGAGGGCGAGGAAGCUUGCCCUGCCCCCCGAGCUCUUGGUGGGAAUAGAUGACGCUGCCCCGGGAGCUUCUUCUCUCCCUGCU